rnacentral:rRNA from 1 species
UACGUAGGGUGCAAGCGUUGUUCGGAAUCAUUGGGCGUAAAGCGCGCGCAGGCGGAUCAGCAAGUCAGAUGUGAAAUCUCAGGGCUCAACCCUGAAACUGCGUCUGAAACUGCUAGUCUAGAAUGUCGGAGGGGGCAGGGGAAUUUCACGUGUAGGGGUAAAAUCCGUAGAGAUGUGAAGGAACACCGGAGGCGAAGGCGGGUCGUCUGGGCCGAAACUGACGCUGAGGAGCGAAAGCGUGGGGAGCAAACAGG